UACAGAGGGUGCAAGCGUUAAUCGGAAUUACUGGGCGUAAAGGGCGCGUAGGCGGCCCGCUAAGUCGAACGUGAAAUCCCCAGGCUCAACCUGGGAACUGCGUCCGAUACUGGCAGGCUUGAAUCCGGGAGAGGGAUGUGGAAUUCCAGGUGUAGCGGUGAAAUGCGUAGAUAUCUGGAGGAACACCGGUGGCGAAGGCGGCAUCCUGGACCGGUAUUGACGCUGAGGCGCGAAAGCUAGGGGAGCAAACGGGG
rnacentral:rRNA from 1 species